UACGUAGGGUGCGAGCGUUGUCCGGAAUUAUUGGGCGUAAAGAGCUUGUAGGCGGUUUGUCGCGUCUGCCGUGAAAAUCCGGGGCUCAACCCCGGACUUGCGGUGGGUACGGGCAGACUAGAGUGUGGUAGGGGGAGACUGGAAUUCCUGGUGUAGCGGUGAAAUGCGCAGAUAUCAGGAGGAACACCGAUGGCGAAGGCAGCUUGCUGGGACGGUACUGACGCUGAGACGCGAAAGCGUGGGGAGCAAACAGG
rnacentral:rRNA from 1 species